rnacentral:rRNA from 1 species
UACGGAGGGUGCGAGCGUUUGUCCGGAAUCACUGGGCGUAAAGGGCGCGUAGGCGGCGCGACAAGGCGGCGGUGAAAGUCCGGGGCUCAACCCCGGAUCGGCCGUGGCGACUGUCGCGCUCGAGCACAGUAGAGGCGGGUGGAAUUCCGGGUGUAGCGGUGGAAUGCGUAGAGAUCCGGAAGAACACCGGUGGCGAAGGCGGCCCGCUGGGCUGUGGCUGACGCUGAGGUGCGAAAGCGUGGGGAGCAAACAGG